GAUAAUAUCAUGUUUCAUGGUGGGAUGUAUGUUGGGCUGUGCCAAGGGCAUGCCUUGUUGUCUAAUGGGAGACAACAGCACUGUGCAGCCUUCAGGUGUCAACACUAUAGGCCCUGUGGGCCCCUCAGGAAGGGUCAGAUACUCUUGGAGCUCGAGUAUUUUUUUUCAGGGAAGUGUCUAGAAGCCUACAGCUGUGUUGACAAGCAGCUGACAUAGGGCAAUUAUGCAUGCCCAGGGAGAAGAGGACUGAUUUGGCUUUACCUUCUCUGCUGGAGCAUCUGUAUCCAUUUGGAGAUGUACACACUGCUCUAUUGCCUCACUGUGAAAUAAACUCUCUGGGUAGGACUCUGUCAAAAGCUUCUGCCUUCCACUAUACAUUGAGCUUGAUGUUUGCAUAAGGAUUUCUAAGGAAAGGGAUAUGCAAUUUAGGCUUUCUAUGCAGAAAGUGGAAAAUGUUUUUGUCUUCCAUUCAAAUCCUAGUGAGGGAAGAAAAAGAACCUUUUUGCAGGCCGCCUUACAGAGAUUAUUCCUUCUGUCCAUCACUUUUAUAUUCUCCUCAGGAAAGGAAGCUUUUGACACAUGCUCCUUAUUUGAACUAAUUUAAGUCUCCCCUUCUCCUCCCCAAGAUUUUCUUCUACAAACAUUUCUCGGUGUAAAGAAAGGUAGAGCAAGUUUUUCUAUUUGUAAGUCAGCUGUAUGAGGUAGAGGGAGGGUGUCACAUGAUAAGUUUGGAUUGCAUUGGUUAUGUUGACUUUCUUGAAAGUAACAAUUCCUUUGUGUGUUUUUCUUGUCCUUCUGACCCAUCCCAUAAGUAGGUCCAAAAAGUUAAAUCUCUUGGCUUUGACACAGAAAAAGGUCUUUUGCACAAUGAAAGUUGGAGUCACAAAAGUAACUUUCCUGGAAUAGCAGUGGAAUGGUGUGCAGGAUUCAUGAAGCAAGCCUGGAUGAACUCCCUGAAUCAGGAAUCCGGGCAUUUAGAAGCCAGAAGAAGAAAGGGGCUGACCAAAACCUACUUAUUCAAAGAAGAAAGCCUGUCUGAGAGGCAGAAGCAAUCAGUGCUCCCUGGCAAAGAAUCACAUCACUGUUAUGUACUGAAAAUGUUUAUUUUGUUCCUGAGACUGAAAAUGGCAGGGAACACAGCAUGCAAUUUGGAAGAGCUGAUGGCUGCAGACACAAAUGGAAGCUCUUAAGGACAUCUGUAUGAGAUUUUUCUGGAAACUUCUAGAAAACAUUCACUUUUUGGUGCCACAUGUUUCAUUCCCAAAAAAAAAGGAUUUGACUCCUUAGAUGGAGUUUUUGGUAGUCUCUGGACUAACUUUCAGAGCCAGAGCACAGGGAAUUCAGAGACAAGACCCUGCCUCCCCCAGAACAGAGCCAAGUGUUAUGGGGAGGUGCCACAUGUCCCCUUCCAGAAAUGACAGACCCUGCCCUUGUCUUCACUCCUUUCUAAGUCAGAGGUGGUCUGAGCUGGCUGCCUGGACUGAAGGUCCAUCACUUCUGUGCCAGUCCCCUGCCCCAUGAUUGUUUCCAAGGGUGUCACAAUGUUUAUACCUGAACUAAUUUAAAACUGAAGGAAAUGGAAGGGGCUGGACAGGGUGGAGACUGCUAUAAUGUUAGCUCAGUAUGACUGUGAUAAGUGCUGACGAGGGGAUCUUUCAAAGAGCAAGGUGGUUUCCAUGAUGUCAAUGUAUUGUACAGGUAGCCAAACAGAAGCAAUGGCACAAACAUAUGCAAGAUGCAGCCAAUACCACUGACCACAAAUAAACACAUUAUCUAGACACA
ensembl:lncRNA